UGGCUCAGAACGAACGCUGGCGGCAGGCUUAAUACAUGCAAGUCGAGCGGGCGUAGCAAUACGUCAGCGGCAGACGGGUGAGUAACGCGUGGGAACGUGCCCUUUGGUUCGGAACAACACAGGGAAACUUGUGCUAAUACCGGAUAAGCCCUUACGGGGAAAGAUUUAUCGCCGAAGGAUCGGCCCGCGUCUGAUUAGCUAGUUGGUGAGGUAAUGGCUCACCAAGACGAAGAUCAGUAGCUGGUCUGAGAGGAUGAUCAGCCACACUGUUUCUGAGACACGAGACNGACUCCUACGGGAUCCUGCAGUGGGA
rnacentral:rRNA from 1 species